GUGUGAUUAGCUCAGCUGGGAGAGCACCUCCCUUACAAGGAGGGGGUCGGCGGUUCGAUCCCGUCAUCACCCACCA
rnacentral:tRNA from 3 species